GGAACAAGCACCCCAGGAGGCAGGAGGGGUGGGGGGGAACUUCUUUGUCCCCCAGACACUCUCUGUUGUACUGUUCAGGCUUCCUAGACCCUGUGCGUAUGUCACUGCAGAAUUUAAAAUAAAACAAGAGCCUGGGCCCAGAGAGGAACUCAGUGGGUGACAGGAGCCCAGCCUGGGCCCUGCCGGUGGACUCACGGUGCCAUUUGUCCCUGGGAAGAGACCCUUUUGUGGCCACCCCCCCCAGCGCCUCUCUAGCCGCCUUCCCCCUCCUGGACACGUCCGAUCACCAGUGUCCCACCCCAGCCCCUGAAGCCCCCAGGUCUCUCCCAGGUCUCCAGCUGUGGAGCUGAGACCCAGGCCAGCCUGGGAGGCCCCGGGCGUGUCCCCAGGUCACCCCUGUGGGAAGGAUCCUCGGCCACUCCUAGUCUCCUUUCUGCCAGAGCCCAAGCUAAUGAGCUGUGCCCGGGUUGCCAUGCCAACCCCAAGGCCACCAGGGCGACGACGACGGGAGUGCUGGGCCUGUGUUCCUUGUCACCGUGGCAAGUGCCAGGUGCGGGCUCAAGCCCUGGCACUCACUGGCCGAACAGCCUCGACCACGUCGGUUUGAAAUCUGGAAGAUGAGUAUUUGGAGGGAGCCACUUGGCAGCCGGGACAGCUCUGGUUCCUGUAAUGGUUCUCGCGUUUCCUUCUGCGCUGACUGUGGGGCGGGCGAGGCCAGGGGAUGUCUGCAGCUACUUGCAUGAGGGUCCCCUCGCCAAUGACACCCCCCCCCUGCCCUGCAAACUGCCGUCCUCCACGCUGCAGCCCUGGGUCCCCCUACGUGUGCACACCCUCGGCUCCCUACACUGCAAAACCGAGCGUCUACGGCGACGGGGCAGAGUCCUGGCCCUGCGAUCCAGUGAAUCUGGGUUCAAAUCCUGGUUCUGCCAUUUUAUCCGCUCUGCGACCUCGAGCGACGUACUGCACCUCUCCCAGCCUCAGUUUCCCCGUCUUGAAAAUGUGGGCGCUGGUCCUAACACCCUGAGCGUACUGCGAGGAUUAAAAUAAAAGAUAUUUACCACAAUAAGAAGAUCUACCAUAAAAAGAAAUGACUCACUGAGUGGAUGUCACCUAUCAAAUGAAAAUAACAUAGAAGACGAAAAUGGAAUAAAAACAUUUUCGUAUCUACAUAUCGACCGGAGAAGGAGAGAUACUAACUUUAGACUUUAUUGUUCAACUGUGAAUACCAAAAAUUUAACUGUCCCAAGGGCCCAUACUGCGGUCUCUAAGGGCCA